rnacentral:lncRNA from 1 species
UUUAUAUGUAUUUGGCUAAUAAGGACUUCAACUUUAGGAUGGAAAAGCUAGACUUGAGAAAAGCAACGAGUUAUGCCAAAUCCUUGGGCGCCAUUAUAUCAGUGGGAGGGGCAUUGAUAGUGACCCUUUACGACGGCCCUGCCCUAUUGAACUCUUCCUCGUCUUCCGGCUCGAGUCACUCGUCUCAUGGAUCUUUCGUCUCACGGUCAUCAACCUGGAUCUUUGGAGGUCUGCUACUCGCAAUCCAAUGCCUCGUAGCUUCGGGAUGGAACAUCGCUCAGGUAAUAUAACUUCCGACAACUCACCUCGUACUUUGGUGGCUUAGAAAAUGGGAAUGUUUUGGUUUACCGUCUUCCUUUUACUCGAGCAAACUUUUCAUGAAAUGGGAUGGUUUUUGUAAUGUUAUUUGGAGGUUUUCCUUGGCACUUAUCUCUAAUAAUUUUGAGCUGAAAAAGCAUUGAUAGCAAAACUUCAAAUUGGUAAAAUAGUUCUAAAUCCAUGUAAUUUGAAAAUUUAAGGUGCGUGCUGAUUAAUGGUAUUGAAAAUGGCGUGAAAUUACACUUUCAGGCAGCCACUGUGAAGGAUUACCCGGAAGAAAUGACCAUAGUCUUCUUCUACACCAUGUUUCUUACAAUUCAAUGCACAGUUAUCUCUCUAAUUGUGGAGAGGAAUAAUAUGAGUGCAUGGAAACUGGAGCUUCCCAUUGAGAUAAUCGCCGUUGUGUAUGCGGUGAGAAGAACGAAAACCUUUUUAUUUGUUAAACAUAGUGUUUAAUAAGGAGCUAAUACGAUGUCAUUACGUUUAUAGGCAAUCUGUGUGAGUGUGUUUCGCAUCAGUGUUCAUGUCUGGUGCUUGCACAAGAAGGGGCCUGUUUAUGUAGCCAUGUUUAAGCCCUUAGGAAUCGCCAUUGCGGCACUCCUGGUGGUUGUUUUCCUUGGCGAAACCUUUUAUCUCGGCAGGUACGCUCAGGCACACAAACAAAUUUUUGCAUUCAAAUGUUAUUUAUCAUGUUCAUCGAUGGAUUCAUUUUCUUGUGCAGUUUGAUUGGUUCUAUUGUGAUCUCGGUGGGAUUUUAUACCGUGAUAUACGCAAAAAUGAAGGAGAAAGCAAUGGCGGAUAAUGAGGCAGUUCAACCAUUAAAACCGUCUGAUCAAAUCCAAAUGGCUCCUCUGUUGCCAAGCAGUAUCAGUAACGAAGUAUGAAGAGGCUAAUGCCCGGAAAUUGGAGUAGCCAUAGUGAAAGUUACAAUAAAUGUGAGGCAUGUCAAGUUCGGACUUGUAUUCUAACAUUUAUUCAAAAUUGAUUUACAUGUUAGGUAUAUAUUUAGGGUAGUAAUUUUCGCAUUCAAAUUUAAUGAGAGUUUCUAGUCAUACUCAAAAUUUUGUCUCUCGACAUCCGAAGCCAAUGGAACUUUUAUUUCGAAAUUGCCUUCAUAUGAAAUAUAGUAAAGAACAAGUAUCGUUUCAUAAAACAAAAACAAAUCCAAUGUUCUAAAGUCCUCGCUCGAGGGUGUUAAGGCCCACCCCAAAUGUUAGGGUGCUGACCACUACAGUUCCUGAUGAAUUUGCAAAUAUCUGCCAAACACAAUCACAAAAUCUAUUUCGAGCUUAAGACUCAACUAAAGAUAAAUUUAGGGGUGUGAUAUCCACACACCCCAUUUUACUUCUCACACACCCUUCUAAUUUUCAACCGUCGGAUCGGAUGAAUUGAAGAAGAUCAACGGAUUAAAAUUAAUAAGGGUGUGUGAGAAGUAAUUUGGGGUGUGUGGAUAGCACACCCCUAAAUUUACUUGUCAAUUAGGUCUUCACAUCAAGGAAAGUGCUAUUCACACUUUUUUUUUAUCUUCCACACAUUUUGAUUAAUUUUUGUCAUUUAUCUUCUUCUAUUUGUUCAAUCCAACGACCAAAAAUUAAGUGUGAAUGAGAAAUAAAAAUGAAUGUUUGAAUAACUCUACAGAAUCUUAAUUCAACCAAGCUGGAUAUCAAGAUUGACCCCAAUUAGGUAGUUACAUGUUGCCAACGAUGUUGACUCAGAGGCCUUACUAGGUUUUAACAAGAAGCCAAAAAAAAGGGACCAGGAUUGUCUGUGCUCCCAUUUUCGGUGCCUUCCUGUGCCCUCCUGUUUUGUGUGGUCACGGUCCACGUUAACAUUUUAUAUUAUUUUUUUAUAGAGAUAAUAAAACAAAAAUAAAUAGUAAUAUAAAAUGUUGACGUGGCUUAACUGUGACCACACAAACAAGAGGGCAUGGGAGGGCAGACAAUCAUUGUCCAAAAAAAAGUACUCUUCAAAGUUCAAAACAGCACGAAACUAGGCCACUUGUCCGACUUCGAUUGUCGCAUUGCAAUUGAAAAAUGGUGCAUCUUACAACAUACAUUAUUGGACCAUUACCAUAUUAUAUAGUUUAGUUUUAAAAUUGAUAUCCUACAAUAAUCAUACAGUAGAUGCCUUUCACGCUAGCCAUCAAACCUCUCUUACGUUAGGAGUAGGCCUUAUCUAAUUAAUAAGUCGUUUUAUAACAAUUUUUUUUUAAUUUUGGGAUUUCAUGAAAAUAAAAAUUGAAAAUCUGAAAGUGAAAACUUAAGGGCAAAUUUUGAAAACUAAGAGAGAAAAAAAUUUAGUUUUCAUAAAAGUAGUUAUCAAACAAGAUUUAUAAAGAUGAAAACUAAAAACAUAAGAGUUAUAAACGGCCCAUAAGUUAGUUAAUGUACAUUUAAGUUUGAAUCUCCUUAUCGUAGUUCUGAUUAUGAAAAAUUUUAAAUUCUUCAUAAAAAAAUUUACAAAAACAAAAUACACCUUAUUGUAAAUGAUUAUAAUACUAAUUGCAUCGAAAUCUUUUAGAUAAAAUCUCACUCAUAAUGACAUGCUAUGUAGUUGAGUUGUAAAAAAUAUUGACGUUAAUAAGUAAUAGGGCAAUCACCUGCUUCUCUAAAACUUAACAACAUACAUGUAGCAUCUUUAGUGGUACUCUGAAAAUUGUCCCUACCACCGUAAGUUAAGGACUUGGUGGCUUCUAAUGGAGCGGAGCUCUAGUCUCUAUAGUAGAGAUACUGCUCGAAGGUUGUAUAAAAAUUCACACAAUGAGAACCACAUAGGAACUGAAAGAGUGGCUCCAAUGUUGAUUUUGAGUGGGAAACAAACCACCCCUCACAUGAACGCUACACAACAAUUUCUCUCACUCUCCCUUCAGGUUGAGGAUUACUUAAUUAGAGCACUUCCAAAAAAAUUCUCAGGUGAUAACUUUUGUGGGCAUAUGAAAUAAUGAACUUGUAUUGGAUUGUAGUGUAUUUAAUAUCUUCAGUAUACAGAUGUUUCACCCACUACUACAAAACUAGCUUAAUGUGUCGGAGAGUGGUGGCGGCGUUAUACGAUUACUAUCGGUGUAAUACAUCUAUCAAUCUAAACAAAUGCUGUUGUCCCUGCAACUUUUUCUUCACAAGAAGAAGAACAAGGAGCAUUCGAUCUCUGUAACGGCGAAAAGAGAGUAAGAGAUGGUGUGGCAAAGUCGCAUAUGGGGCGCCGUGCCCUUCACUGCCAUGGUAAUCGUUGAGUGUGCAGAAGUUGGCGUGUCGACGUUGAGCAAAGUAGCCAUGUCAAAAGGGAUGAGCAAAUUUGUCUUCAUUGUCUACUACAAUGCUCUUGGUACCCUCUUGCUCCUCCCCUUCUUCAUCUUCCAAAGGUGUGAUUAUCUUCCGAUGUGACAGUGACCGCUUCUUUCGAAAGUAUCGAGAUUGGUUUAGGUCAAUAAUUAAUUUCAUAUUUCAUGCAGAAACAGGCGAGCUCCUUUGACUUUCAGGCUCAUCUGCCAAUUCUUUCUCCUCGGCCUAAUAGGGUAAUUCUAGUUGCUUUCACUAGAUCAAAUACUUGUUGAAAUAAUUGAUAUAGACAUAUAAAUGAUGAAGAAAACUGUAAUUGCAGGAGCGCAGGGAAAAUACUGUUUUUUGCUGGUGUCAAAAACAGUUCGGCUCUUCUUGCGUCAGCAAUGGCAAAUCUCACCCCAAUUUUCACUUUCUUGCUAGCCUUAAUUUUCAGGUAGGAAUAACUUUUCAUAAAUUUUGUAUUUCUUUGACGGUUUAUAUGUAACUUUUCAUAAAUUUAGGAUGGAAAAGCUAGACUUGAGAAAAGCAACGAGUUAUGCCAAAUCCUUGGGCGCCAUUAUAUCAGUGGGAGGGGCAUUGGUAGUGACCCUUUACAACGGACCUGCCCUAUUGAACUCUUCCUCGUCUUCCGGCUCGAGUCACUCGACUCAUAGAUCUUUCGUCUCACAGUCAUCAACCUGGAUCUUUGGAGGUCUGCUACUCGCAAUCCAAUGCCUCGUAGCUUCGGGAUGGAACAUCGCUCAGGUAAUAUAUCUUCCCACAACUCACCUCAUACUUUGGUGGCUUAGAAAAUGGGAAUGAAAUGGGAUGGUUUUUGUAAUGUAAUUUGGAGGCUUUCCCUAGCACUUAUCUCUAAUAAUUUUGUGCUGAAAAAGCAUGGAUAGCAAAACUUCAAACUGGUAAAAUAGCUCUAAAUCCAUGUAAUUUGAAAAUUUAAGGUGUGUGCUGAUUAAUGGUAUCGAAAAUGGCGUGAAAUUACACUUUCAGGCAGCCACCGUGAAGGAUUACCCGGAAGAAAUGACCAUAGUCUUCUUCUACACCAUGUUUCUUACAAUUCAAUGCACAGUUAUCUCUCUAAUUGUGGAAAGGAAUAAUCUGAAUGCAUGGAAACUGGAGCUUCCCAUUGAGAUAAUCACCAUUGUGUACGCGGUGAGAAGAACGAGAAUCUUUUUAUUUGUUACACAUAGUGUUUAACAAGGAACUAAUAUGAUGUCGUUACGUUUAUAGGCAAUCUGUGUGAGUGUGUUUCGCAUCAGUGUUCAUGUCUGGUGCUUGCACAAGAAGGGGCCUGUUUAUGUAGCCAUGUUUUCACCCUUAGGAAUCGCCAUUGCGGCAGUCCUGGUGGUUGUUUUCCUUGGCGACACCUUUUAUCUCGGCAGGUAUGCUCAGGCACACAAACAAAUUUUUGCAUUCAAAUGCUCUUUAUCAUGUUUAUCAAUGGAUUUAUUUCUUGUGCAGCUUGAUUGGAUCCAUUGUGAUCUCGGUGGGAUUUUAUACCGUGAUAUACGCAAAAAUGAAGGAGAAAGCGAUGGCGGAUGAUGAGGGAGUUCAACUAUCAAAACCGGCGGAUGAUGAGGGAGCUCAACUAUCAAAACCGGCGGAUGAUGUGGGAGUUCAACUAUCAAAACCGUCUUCCCAAAUCCAAAUGACUCCUCAGUUGCCAAGCAGUAUCAGCAAUGAAGUAUGAAGAGGCUAAUGCCCGGAAAUUGCAGUGGCCAAAGUGAAAGUUACAAGAAUGUGUAAUAGGUAAUGCCAAGAUUUUGUUGGCAUGAAUGUGAUGUCAAGUUCGGACUUGUAUUCUAACAUUUAUCAAAAUUAAUUUACAUGUUGCCACUUAAUACUAUGAUUUAGUGGUAUUCCUCUUCACUUGUAAGUGAGAGGUCUUAAGUUUGAUUCUUGUCCAAACCAAAUUUGAACCACGUUAUUGCUAGCCCAUUGUGAGGCUAAGUCCACAUUUUCCCCUUAGUGUAAAUAAUAUUGUUUGUUCUAAAAAAACAAAAUUAAUUUACAUGUUAUGUACAUAUCUAGGCUAGUGACUUUCACACCCAAAUUUAGUGAGAGUUUUUAGUUGUAUUCAAAUUUUGUCUCUCGACAUCCAAAACCAAUGGGACUUUUAUUUUCAAAUUGCCUUCAUAUGAAAAUGUAAUAAAGAACAACUAUUGUUUCAUAAAACAAAAACAAAACAAAACCAGUGUUUUGAAAGUUCCUGUCUGAAGUUGUUUAGGCUGAGCCUAGACGUUAGGUGGCUGACCACCUCCACGAUUGAUUAUUAGGCAUUUAAAAAUAGGAAAGGGUGCGUAGACUUGCUCAAACGUCCGCCUAAGCACCCAUCUAGGUAGUGACUCUCACUUAGCUAAAAAAUACACAAUUUUCAUUUUGCAUUUUAUUUUUUUAAUAUAUUGUAAGAGACUUGUUAAUACUUGGACGAACACUCAUUGUAUAUUUGUUCCUCAUAUUUUCAAUAUGUUCAUUAAGUAUGAGACUCAAUAAAUGAUAAAACAACUUCCAACAGACUUAUUCAAAAGUUGACAAUUACAUUUUUCACGAAAACUCUGAAUCAUUAUUCACAGUUCCUAAUCAAUUUUGCAAAUAUCUUCCAAACACAAACAUAAAAUUCAUUUCGAGCUUAAAUAAUUUUAAGACUUAACAAAAGAUAAACUUACUUGUCAAUUAGGUCUAAACAUAAGAAAAUGUGUUAUUCACACUCUUUUUUAUCCCUCACACACCUUUAUUAAUUUUUUGUCAUUGAUCUUCUACUCGUUCAUUUCGACGGUUGAAAAUUAAAAGUGUGUGAGAAAUAUAAAUAAGUGUGUGAAUGGUACAACCGAACUUCAAUUCAACCAGCCUAGAUAUUAAGAUUGACCCCAGUUAGGCAGUUGCACGUUGCCAAAGAUGUUGACUCAUAAGCCUUCUUAAGCUUUACUUUAACAAGCCAAAAAAUUCAAGUAUCUUAGAAGUUCAAAACAGCACGAAACUAAGCCAAUUGUCCCACUUCGAUUAUCGCAUGCAAUUGAAAAAUGGUGCAUCUUACAACGUACAUUAUUGGACCAUUACCAUAUUAUAUAAUUUAGUUUUAAAAUUGAUAUCCUACAAUAAUCAUACAAUAGAUGUCUUUCACACUAAUCAUCAAAACCUUUCUUACAUUAGGUGUAGGUCUUAUUUAACUAAGGAGUCGUUUGAUAAACAUUUUGUUUUCAAUUUUCGGAUUCCAAAAAAUUAAAAGUUGAAAACCUGAAAAUGAAAACUCAAGGAUGAAUUUUGCUCAAAAAAAUAAUUUUCGGUUUCCAUGAAAGUAGUUACCAAACAAGAUUUCAUAAAGAUGAAACUAAAAACAAAAUAGUUAUAAACGGCCCCUAAGUUAUUGUAAAUGAUUAUAUUACUAAUGGCAUCGAGAUCUUUUUGAUAAAAUCUCACACAUAAUGACAUGUUGUGUAGUUAAGUUGCGAAAAAUAUUGAUAUUUAGUAGUGAUGGGGCAAUCACCUGCUUCUCUAAAACUUAACAACAUAUAGCAUCUUCAGUGGUGCUCUGAAAAUUGUCCCUACCACCAUAUGUAAGUUUAAGGACUUGGUAGCUUCUAAUGGAGCGGAGCUCUAGUUUCUAUUGUAGAGAGAUUGCUCAGAGUCAGAGGUUGUAUAAAAAUUCUCACAAAUGAGAACUACAUAGGAACUGAAAGAGUGUGUCCAAUGUUGAUUUUGUGUGGGCCCUCCACAUGAAUGCUACACAACAACUUCUCUCAUUCUCUCUUCACAUGUGGGUUGAGAAUUACUUAGAGCACUUCUACCCCUCUCAAAUCCCCUAGGGAAUAGUGGAUUAAAUCCCCUCCCUCCCCCCAAAACUCCUCCACCCCAUUCCAAUCUACUGGGAUACAGGGGAGCCUAGUUGCUUACCUAGGCUGAAUUGACUAGCCUAGCCCUUAG